rnacentral:rRNA from 1 species
CACGUAGGGCGCGAGCGUUGUCCGGAAUUACUGGGCGUAAAGAGCUCGUAGGCGGUUUGUCGCGGCGUCUGUGAAAACUCGAGGCUCAACCUCGAGCUUGCAGGCGAUACGGGCAGACUUGAGUACUGCAGGGGAGACUGGAAUUCCUGGUGUAGCGGUGAAAUGCGCAGAUAUCAGGAGGAACACCGGUGGCGAAGGCGGGUCUCUGGGCAGUAACUGACGCUGAGGAGCGAAAGCGUGGGUAGCGAACAGG